rnacentral:rRNA from 1 species
AUGACAAACAUUUCAUCAUUGGCGUACCUAAGAUGGUCCUCCAUACCAACUCUCCAGAUAGCAAAAUCGGAAUGGUCAUCAAGAAAAAGGGGGGUUUCCCAUAGGAUUAUACUUAGGUUUCUCUACUUGAGGUCUUCCAGAAAGCCAUGGAACACUAGAGUGAUCACUACUAGGAGGUUGAUGGCCAAGUUGGCCUCGAGGCCGCACCACCCAGAUUGGAAAGUGGUGCGAGAAUCAUGGUUAAUGCGGCUAACCUCAUUUGGACCAAGGCCUCAAGAGAAGCAUCAUGCUCCUCAUUUUGCUUAG